rnacentral:rRNA from 1 species
UACGAGGGGGGCAAAUGUUGUUCGGAAUCACUGGGCGUAAAGGGCGCGUAGGCGGCUCGCUAAGUCGGAUGUGAAAACUCUGGGCUCAACCCAGAGCCUGCAUUCGAAACUGACGAGCUCGAGUUCUGGAGGGGAAAGCGGAAUUCCUGGUGUAGCGGUGAAAUGCGUAGAUAUCAGGAGGAACACCGGUGGCGAAGGCGGCUUUCUGGACAGAAACUGACGCUGAUGCGCGAAAGCUAGGGGAGCAAACAGG